UAAAGUGAGUCUACUGCCAUGAACAAGCCCGAUCCCAUCUGAUCUCAGAAGCUAAGCAGGGUCGGGCCUGGUUAGUACUUGGAUGGGAGACCACUUAGGAAGAUCAGGUGCUGUAG
rnacentral:rRNA from 1 species